rnacentral:piRNA from 1 species
UGGAAGUAAGGAAGAGUAUACAUGGAA